rnacentral:rRNA from 1 species
UAUUUAUAGGUAACGGUUGGGCAUGCGUCCUAUUAGAUAGUUGGGGGGGUAACGGCCCACCAAGUCGAUGAUAGGUAGGGGUUCUGAGAGGAAGGUCCCCCACACUGGUACUGAGACACGGACCAGACUCCUACGGGAGGCAGCAGUGAGGAAUAUUGGUCAAUGGGCGAGAGCCUGAACCAGCCAAGUCGCGUGAGGGAUGACUGCCCUAUGGGUUGUAAACCUCUUUUGUAUGGGGGGAAUAAGCUUUACGAGUAGAGUGAUGACAGUACCAUACGAAUAAGCAUCGGCUAACUCCGUGCCAGCAGCCGCGGUAAUACGGAGGAUGCGAGCGUUAUCCGGAUUUAUUGGGUUUAAAGGGUGCGUAGGCGGCAUUAUAAGUUAGUGGUAAAAUAUUGGGGCUUCACCUCACUACGCCAUUAAUACUGUAGAGCUAGAGAACAGACGAGGUAGGCGGAAUAAGUUAAGUAGCGGUGAAAUGCAUAGAUAUAACUUAGAACACCGAUAGCGAAGGCAGCUUACCAGACUGAGUCUGACGCUGAUGCACGAGAGCAUGGGUAGCGAACAGGAUUAGAUACCCUGGUAGUCCAUGCCGUAAACGAUGCUCACUGGCCUUAGGCGAUAUAUGGUCUGA